rnacentral:rRNA from 1 species
UACGGAGGGUGCUAGCGUUGUUCGGAAUCACUGGGCGUAAAGCGCGUGUAGGCGGCCCACUAAGUCUGAUGUGAAAGCCCGGGGCUCACCCCCGGAAGUGCAUUGGAAACUGGUGGACUCGAGUCCCGGAGAGGAGGGUGGAAUUCCUGGUGUAGCGGUGAAAUGCGUAGAUAUCAGGAGGAACACCGGUGGCGAAGGCGGCCCUCUGGACGGUGACUGACGCUGAGGCGCGAAAGCGUGGGGAGCAAACAGG